ACCACGCCUGCCCGGCGCUGCGGCAAAGGCUCCGCAGUGGGUGCUCCCAUCCCCCGUAGAAGCUUCUGGAAUAAGGAGCCAAGCUGGAAAGAGGAGAGAAACCUUUAUACCCGCAGAGAGGGGGGGAAGAGAGCGAGCCGCGGAGCGCGUAAUAAACGGGAGAGGAUUGCACAAGGAUGGGGUGUGUGCAGGGGGAAAAGCUAUCUAUAUAUAGAUAUAGAUAUAAAUGAAGCCCAGGAGCGGCUCUGCUUUUAAAUCAACCACCCCAACACAAAGCACACACAAAAAAAUAGGGAAUAUGGUGCUGUGUGGAGCGGUAGAGGAUGGGAUAAGGGAGCUGAUCCCUCCUCCCGGAUCUGCCAUUGCACUUGAGCUCGUUUGUCCUCUCCUUCUGUCGCAAUGAGUUGUCUGAGCCGGACUCUUUGAUUUGCAGCUUCAGGAUGUAUUGUAGUAGAAAGCCAAUGGAGGAAAACAAAGGAGAGCGGGAGGUGGCGGCUUGAAGGAGAAAAGCGGUGGAAGAGAAUGGAGGCAUGGACCGGCCCGCCUCGGGGUGCGUGUGGUGGUCAUAGGGGGAGCGCAGGGAACGGGCAAUUCUGGGCCAAAAAGCUUCAGGCUAUGAGGAAAAAUAAAAGGUAUUUUAAGGGUCGGUGCCGGCGACCUGCGCCGGGGGGGGCUGAGGCAGCAUUUCUGGCGGAUUUUCGCUUCCUUUUGUGAAGGAAAAAGGGGGGG